UACAGAGGGGGCAAGCGUUGUUCGGAAUUACUGGGCGUAAAGGGCUCGUAGGCGGCCAACUAAGUCAGACGUGAAAUCCCUCGGCUUAACCGGGGAACUGCGUCUGAUACUGGAUGGCUUGAGUUUGGGAGAGGGAUGCGGAAUUCCAGGUGUAGCGGUGAAAUGCGUAGAUAUCUGGAGGAACACCGGUGGCGAAGGCGGCAUCCUGGACCAACAUUGACGCUGAGGCGCGAAAGCCAGGGGAGCAAACGGGG
rnacentral:rRNA from 1 species